GCCUGGACCCUGGGAAGGGAGGAUGAGCCCAGGAAGGGCCUCUGGACGGGGCUUUGGGUGAUCUAAACUUGUCUGCUCCUCGGAUACGCAAACAGAGAAAUAAAUAACAACGGUACUCAGCCUGCCUCCAGUGACUCCCAGAUGGCUGCAGUGAAGAGGCUUUGCUCUAAGGGUGGCCCUCAGGAAAGGUUGAUCUACAAGGCAAAAUGCUCAGUGCAGGAGGAACAGUAAACAGACUCAAAGGCUGUCCUUAUUCAAGACAGGGGAAGAUUACAAAGAGCUGCACAAGGGUUUGUUGGGAAUAACACCAUUGUUGUUCCUAAUUGUGUGUGCUCAUUGUGUGUGCAUGUGG